GAUGAACGCUGGCGGCGUGCCUAAUACAUGCAAGUCGAGCGAACGGACGAGAAGCUUGCUUCUCUGAUGUUAGCGGCGGACGGGUGAGUAACACGUGGAUAACCUACCUAUAAGACUGGGAUAACUUCGGGAAACCGGAGCUAAUACCGGAUAAUAUUUUGAACCGCAUGGUUCAAAAGUGAAAGACGGUCUUGCUGUCACUUAUAGAUGGAUCCGCGCUGCAUUAGCUAGUUGGUAAGGUAACGGCUUACCAAGGCAACGAUGCAUAGCCGACCUGAGAGGGUGAUCGGCCACAUGGGAACUGAGACACGGUCCAGACUCCUACGGUAGGCAGCAGUAGGGAAUCUUACGCAAGGGGCGAAAGCCUGACGGAGCAACGCCGCGUGAGUGAUGAAGGUCUUCGGAUCGUAAAACGCUGUUAUUAGGGAAGAACAUAUGUGUAAGUAACUGUGCACAUAUUGACGGUACCUAAUCAGAAAGCCACGGCUAACUACGUG
rnacentral:rRNA from 1 species